rnacentral:rRNA from 1 species
GAUGAACGCUGGCGGCGUGCUUAACACAUGCAAGUCGAACGGGAAACCUUUUAUUGAAGCUUCGGCAGAUUUAGAUUGUUUCUAGUGGCGGACGGGUGAGUAACGCGUGGGUAACCUGCCUUAUACAGGGGGAUAACAGUCAGAAAUGACUGCUAAUACCGCAUAAGCGCACAGAGCUGCAUGGCUCGGUGUGAAAAACUCCGGUGGUAUAAGAUGGACCCGCGUUGGAUUAGCUAGUUGGUGAGGUAACGGCCCACCAAGGCGACGAUCCAUAGCCGGCCUGAGAGGGUGAACGGCCACAUUGGGACUGAGACACGGCCCAGACUCCUACGGGAGGCAGCAGUGGGGAAUAUUGCACAAUGGGGGAAACCCUGAUGCAGCGACGCCGCGUGAAGGAAGAAGUAUCUCGGUAUGUAAACUUCUAUCAGCAGGGAAGAAAAUGACGGUACCUGACUAAGAAGCCCCGGCUAACUACGUGCCAGCAGCCGCAGUAACAC